rnacentral:tRNA from 1 species
UCAUUUUUUAAUCCAUUUGGCAAUAACAAACGUAUUAUGUAUGAGUAAUCUGUGUCGAUGUCACUAAAGUGCAUAUCGAUAUCA